UGCACGACUCUCGGCAACGGAUAUCUUGGCUCUUGCAUCGAUGAAGAACGUAGCAAAAUGCGAUACUUGGUGUGAAUUGCAGAAUCCUGUGAAUCAUCGAGUUUUUGAACGCAAGUAGCGCCCGAGACCACCUGGUUGAGGGCAUGGCUGCCUGGGCGUCGCACCUAACGUCGCUUCAUGC
rnacentral:rRNA from 1 species